rnacentral:misc_RNA from 1 species
UCACACCUUACGGUGGCAGUAUCCCCAGAGUGCCCAGCUUCACCUGAUGGCAACUAAGGAAAGGGGUUGCGCUCGUUAUGGCACUUAAGCCGACACCUCACGGCACGAGCUGACGACAACCAUGCAGCACCUUCACAGAGGCCCCGAAGGGCAUCACCAUCUCUGGAUCUUUCCUCUGCAAUUCAAGCCCGGGUAAGGUUCCUCGCGUAUCAUCGAAUUAAACCACAUGUUCCUCCGCUUGUGCGGGCCCCCGUCAAUUCCUUUGAGUUUCACCGUUGCCGGCGUACUCCCCAGGUGGGAUGCUUAAUGCUUUCGCUUGGCCGCUGGCCCAGGUGGGUCAACAGCGGGCAUCCAUCGUUUACCGUGCGGACUAC